rnacentral:tRNA from 1 species
GACGAGGUGACCGAGCGGUUAAGGUGAUGGACUGCUAAUCCAUUGUGCAUUUCACGCAUGGGUUCGAAUCCCAUCCUCGUCG